rnacentral:rRNA from 1 species
UACGUAGGGGGGCAAGCGUUGUCCGGAUUUAUUGGGCGUAAAGAGCGUGUAGGCGGCCAUACAGGUCAGCUGUGAAAACUCGAGGCUCAACCUCGAGACGUCGGUUGAAACCGUAUGGCUAGAGUCCGGAAGAGGAGAGUGGAAUUCCCGGUGUAGCGGUGAAAUGCGCAGAUAUCGGGAAGAACACCCAUGGCGAAGGCAGCUCUCUGGGACGGUACUGACGCUGAGACGCGAAAGCG